GGUUGCGAUCAUACCAGCACUAAUGCACCGGAUCCCAUCAGAACUCCGCAGUUAAGCGUGCUUGGGCGAGAGUAGUACUAGGAUGGGUGACCCCCCGGGAAGUCCUCGUGUUGCAACCCC
rnacentral:rRNA from 1 species